rnacentral:rRNA from 1 species
AUCUCUCGGCAACGGAUAUCUCGGCCUCACGCAUCGAUGAAGAACGUAGCAAAAUGCGAUACUUGGUGUGAAUUGCAGAAUCCCGUGAACCAUCGAGUUUUUGAAGCAAGUUGUGCCCGAAGCCAUUCGGUUGAGGGCACGUCUGCCUGGGCGUCA